rnacentral:rRNA from 1 species
CUGGCGGCAGGCUAACACCGCAGUUUAACGCGCUUCGGGUGAGCGGCGGACGGGUUAGUACGCGUGGGAACGUGCCCUUCUCUACGGAAUAGCCUCUGGAAACGGAGAGUAAUACCGUAUACGCCCUUUGGGGGAAAGAUUUAUCGGAGAAGGAUCGGCCCGCGUUAGAUUAGGUAGUUGGUGGGGUAACGGCCUACCAAGCCUACGAUCUAUAGCUGGUUUUAGAGGAUUGAUCAGCAACACUGGGACUGAGACACGGCCCAGACUCCUACGGGAGGCAGCAGUGGGGAAUCUUAGACAAUGGGGGCAACCCUGAUCUAGCCAUGCCGCGUGAGUUGAUGAAGGCCUUAGGGUCGUAAAGCUCUUUCGCCUGUGAUGAUAAUGACAGUAGCAGGUAAAGAAACCCCGGCUAACUCCGUGCCAGCAGCCGCGGUAAUACGUAGGGUCCGAGCGUUGUCCGGAUUUACUGGGUAUAAAGGGUGCGCAGGCGGGCUUUUGCGUCGGGGUUAAAGACCAGAGCUUAACUCUGGGAAUGCCUCCGAAACGGGAAGUCUUGAGUAUGAGAGAGGUAGGUAGAAUUCCUGGUGUAGCGGUGAAAUGCGUAGAUAUCGGGAAGAACACCAGUGGCGAAGGCGCUCUGCUGGGCCAUAACUGACGCUCAUGGACGAAAGCCAGGGGAGCGAAAGGGAUUAGAUACCCCUUGUAGCCCUUGCCCGUAAACGAUGAACACUAAGGUGUCGGGGGAAUCGAACCCCUCGAGUGUCGUAGCCAACGCGUUCAGGUGUUCCGCCUGAGGAGUACGACGCCAGUGU